ACCUGGAUAGCUCAGGUGGUUAGAGCAUGGUGCUGAUAACGCCAAGGUUACAAGUUUGAUCCCCCUGUGGGGCA